rnacentral:misc_RNA from 1 species
AACUUUUGACAACGGAUCUCUUGGCUCUCGCAUCGAUGAAGAACGCAGCGAAAUGCGAUAAGUAAUGUGAAUUGCGGAAUUCAGUGAAUCAUCGAAUCUUUGAACGCAUCUUGCGCUCCUUGGUAUUCAGAGGAGCAUGCCUGUUUGAGUGUCAUUUAAAAUUCUCAAACCCACUUGACGUGGCUUUGGAUGUGGGGGCUUUUGUUUGCAGGCUUUUCUUCUCAAGUCUGCUCCCCUGAAAUGCAUUAGUGGUGUCUGGAGUGGAAACUGCUAGGUGUGAUAAUUAUCGUCUACGCCUUUGGGUAUGCCACAUGAAACAGAUUGUGCUGCUUCCAACACAACCUUUAUGACAAACUUGACCUCAAAUCAGGUAGGACUACCCGCUGAACUUAAGCAUAUCAAUAAGCGGAGGCU